rnacentral:lncRNA from 1 species
CCACAGAAUGGGAAAGAAGGACAUUUGGGAACUCCUAGUGACAUUCUCAGAGCCUCACAACAACCCUCUUCCCCUUGGGGUCCUUGGGCCUCCGGUGUGGUGCCCUGCAGACGCGUCUGGCUGGCUGUGGCGUGGGCUCUGGGGCUGCAGCGUGCACAGGCCACCGGGAGGCCCAGAGGAGGGAAGGGAGACAGGCCACCCGAAGGGAGCCGGCUUCUUGGGAAAUCUCUGCAUGCCCCUUCCUGUGCCCUGAGGGGAGAUUCGGCUCCUGUAUGUCACCGAUUCUGCAGCCCAGCAGAGGUGGGUGGCUGAGCCAGAGGCUGCGCCUGAUGAGGCUGAGAGCCUGAAGCUGUCCGUGGUCCAAGCCUGGGGAGCCUGGGGCCUUGGUUGUGUCCCCGGAUCGCCUGCCCGGGUCCCUUCGGGUCUGCUUCCAUUUCCCUUCUUGGCACUGCCUGAGCCAGAGGGAAAGAGGGAUUGUCACUGGAGAGAAGUGCUGCCUCUGAUGUCCUGGGGAGCCAGAGCUGGGGCUGGCCACCUUCUCACAGCGGCGGAACCGGCUGCUGGUCAGACUGAGGGGCAGCCAACACAGCCAGCUGAAGCCACCUUUGGACCACCUUCAUUUUGGGCCACAACUUCCUGACUUCGAAGGCCAGGCUGGAGCCCAAGAAGGCUUUGCAGCCCCCUGGGUGUGCUCAUUGUGUGAGCCAAGUGUUGUCUCUGGCGAUGAUGCCGACAGCCCGGCUCUCCUCGUGUUUCCGCUGCUGCGUGGAAUGUGAACCAGCUGAGCCGGACCAGCGCUGCCCCAGGGCAGGAGGCCAGGUGUGCUGUCUCUGGACGACAGGCAUGAGAAACAGCGACGCCUGAUGUCACCAGGGCCUGGGAACCACCCUGCCUGGGGGAUGCUGGCCCUCUCUGCUAAUGUGCUUGGGUCCUUAUUUCCUCUUUGAAUGUGUUUCUUGAAAAACAAACUCUUUGAGGUGAAAAAAGUUUAUGGUUUUUAGAACAAUGGUUUGAAAUAAAGCAAAUACUGGUAACAGGCUCUGCAGAUAGUUCUAUAAAGCUGUGAAAGAGCCACGAAUAGUUUAAUCACCCUGUACAAAGCAGCCACCUUCAGGAUUCAUUUCUUCAAGUGGUGUCAAUUCAAUUAAUCAUAAAAAAAUGAUUAAAAGAAUUUCAUACAACUUUGCUUUUAAAAUAAAAUCUUGGUAAACCAGC